AUAAUAAGAUGCAUCCUAUUGCUGUGUGCACUGCUGGGGUGCUUUGUUCUGUGCCUGAUUGUUUCAGUCUUCUGAGUAUUCACUGUACGUUUCAAGAAGAGUUGUUUAUGAGAUCAUGAAAUCAGCGCAUCCUGAGGCCAGCUGUAACUUAGAAAGUACCAUAAUCAGAUGGAAGUAUCCUUAAGUUGAGCCAGUGAGUCUGUAGGGAGCAUUGCACUGCAACUUAAACGUCCGUAUGUGCAGCAAACCUGAACCCCUCUGUGAAAUGGGAGAGUGAAUGGUAGCAUUUAACUGCUCAUAAACCACGGACAUUAUUUUAUAGGGUGGUGACUUACGAGGAGGAAAGAUGACGUGUGGAAAAAUGGCAAUGUUUUAGAUUUGAGUAAAGAAUGGGAAAAUGGAUUGGUAACAACUGAAGCAGCUGCUCCUUUCCUUAGAAAAUGUCCAGGUGGCAAACCUGCCCCUCUCUGAACACCCUGGCAGCUCCAUCACUGAAGCCAGUCCUUGAACCCCUUUUAUUCUAGGAAUUAUGACUGGAUAAACAUAUUUGUAUACAUCGUCUUCAGAAGUGCUGUCAGCAGGGGACUGCAGCAGCUCUCUGAGCUCAUCCAGAGACUGAUUGGAAUUCCCUGCUCAUAGCAUUUGCAGGUUCAAUAUCAUUAUUGUUAAUGGUCACUGUGUGUGUGGCUCCAGAUGAAAACAGCCACCACGUGUUGGAUUGCCCACAGCCAAGCCAUCCCAGCACCACGCUCUUGCUGUGCCAAGCUGAGUGUGAGGACAUGGCACACCGGCCCUGCCGUGUCAGUGGUGGGGAUGCACACUGCAAUGAAGUGUCAAGCUGCUUCCACAGGCUGCUUGGAGAGCACAGCUUCAUUUCUCACUAUGGAAACAGUACAGCCAAAGGUCAGUGGAAGAAGUAUUAUCCUUUCAUGCAUUUGUAUGUGGUUGGGUUUUUUUGCUUUGAAUAUGUCAGAGAUGCACAAAGGCAUUGAGAUGCCCAGGAGUACAGAUGGAUAUUUGUUGGGAUUUAGGUAUGUGGCCCUGUGUUUGUGCUUAGCAUAUCUGGAAUGUUUUAAAUGCAUACUGCUGUUUCCCAGUCUGGCUCUUGAACAUUGUAUUGCAAUUUAAAACGUGCGUCAGACUUCAAUAGAUACACACAGUUCAUGUAAAGAUAGUUUUUCCUUAUAAACACGUCUUUACUCAAUAUGGUUGACAGUCUUGGUUCACCAGAGUGCCUAAAAGAAAGCCAUAAUAAUCAGCUGUGUAAAAGUGAUUUUGUAGUACAGAUUGGCUUGCUGGGACUGAGAGAGUGUUUUGAUUGUUAUUUUCUCAGUGGAAUAGAUUGAUGUGACAUCUGAAAUGACAAUCAGGAAUAGAUUCUGAACUGCCACCUUCGUCUCUUAAUUAGUACGAGUAAUUCUUUUGAACAAAAUAUGGUUAUCAUCGAGUUCAUUCUGUCCCAGUGAGAUUAAAGAGUGCUUAAAUUUCACUUCUUUUUCCUGUCCCAGGGGUGGGAUAAUCCCUGUAAUUACAUCAUAUUAUCCACUGUUAUUCAUGUAUCAUCUCUAGUGAUACUGGGAUCUUCUGCAGAUCACUUUGAGUAUAUUAGACAAGCCUUGCCAAUACACUUCUCACUCAACAGCUGAAGAUUGCUCUUGUGGAAGUUGCUACUUUGAGUGAUAUAAAGCUCUCCUCAUUGCUUGUUAAGUGUAUGAAAAUACUGUUAUAUUCUGGGCCUUGCUAUAUUCAAAAUAUUAAAAAUACUGGGUGUAUGAAGUU
rnacentral:lncRNA from 7 species